rnacentral:misc_RNA from 1 species
AAAAUGCGAUAACUAAUGUGAAUUGCAGAUUACGUGAAUCAUCCAGUCUCUGAACGCAAAUUGCACCCUGUGGUAUUCCGCAGGGUAUACCUGUUUGAGUGGUGUUUAAAAGGGAGCUCGUCUCCAAUUGAUGACUUGUUCAUCGCGUGCACGUUAAGUAAAGGCAGUGUCAUGAUGACCGCCGUGCAUUAGGAAUGUAUACAUGUGGGUUUAAUGGCGAUUAGAUUCUUCUAACCGACAGCCUGCAUCUAUACGGAAUCAGUUUACGAAGCACUGUUCACGGCCUUACCAACCAUUUUAUAGUCAUACCUCAAAUCAGGCAAGAUUACCCGCUGAACUUAA